rnacentral:rRNA from 1 species
UAGUCCACGCCGUAAACGAUGAGUGCUAGUUGUUGGAACUUUCAGUUUCAGUGACGCAGCUAACGCAUUAAGCACUCCGCCUGGGGAGUACGGUCGCAAGAUUAAAACUCAAAGGAAUUGACGGGGACCCGCACAAGCGGUGGAGCAUGUGGUUUAAUUCGAGGCAACGCGAAGAACCUUACCAGGUCUUGACAUACCUAUCGCGGAUUUCAGAGAUGAUUUCCUUCAGCUUGGCUGGAUAGGAUACAGGUGCUGCAUGGCUGUCGUCAGCUCGUGUCGUGAGAUGUUGGGUUAAGUCCCGCAACGAGCGCAACCCUCAUCCUUAGUUGCCAGCAUUUAGUUGGGCACUCUAAGGAAACUGCCGGAGUUAAUCCGGAGGAAGGUGGGGGAUGACGUCAAGUCUUCAUGGCCCUUACGGGCCUGGGGCUACACACGUGCUACAAU